AUGUGCUGGAACGUGCUCGGGUUAAACUCGCCGGCGAAGAGAGAGGCUGUGCGAGAGGUAGUUGUGGCGCACAGCACUGCCAUUCUCUGUCUCCAGGAAACUAAGAUAGAUGCUUGGACGCCUGCGCUUGUUCGUGAUAUUGGCGGCAGCACCCUGCAGGGCUGCGCUGUUCUGCCGGCCAUCGGCACCCGCGGCGGAGCUGCCAUUCUGUGGAACAAAGAUGUAGUCUCCGUCGACACCCACGCCAUCGGGCAAUUUGCGCUCACGGCCAAGGUCACGCUC
rnacentral:rRNA from 1 species